rnacentral:lncRNA from 1 species
GUCCUGUAUAAGCGCAAACAUCACUUACGAGAGAAACGUUAGAAUUGGAUAUAUGCAGAGGGCAUUUGCAUUAUCCUGUAAACAACAACAAUAAAUGAACAAAUUAAUCAACAUGUUACAUGCUGAAAAAGGUUCAGCACAACACAACCAUUUUCACUUGUAGUGAAAGUGAGAAAAGAAAGAUACAAAGCUUUCAAUGCCGGCAAGUUCAAAGAUUUUGGCAAUAGUAUCUUAAUAUAGUCAUGUGAAGCAGGAUGCCUAAAGUCAAGUUUAAGAGCUGUCAAAGAUAGAAUGAAUGCAAGGAACAACAACGGACUUUCAUUCAAACAUAGCUUAGUGCAUGCAUGUAAGAAACAAUAAAAAUCAUCACUUCAAACGCAAGGGGAAGAGAAACUCAUGUAUAAUAUGAGAGCAAUUAGUUUGUAUUGGUGUGAAGAACAAAUAUUUGAGUGUAACCCAUAUUUAAAAGUAACAUUCUGGAACCACAACUGUUGCGGUUUUCAGUUUUUUCUUUGAAUCAGCCAGUUUGCGAUUUUAAUUUGGAUUUGAGCGCACUUAUUUGAAACAACACAGAUCCUUGUAGGCAUAAAGAAGCUGUUUGCAUAAGCUGUUUGCAACACAGAUCUAAUUUAUAUUGCACCAGCUGCUUGCAUAAUCUCAAAAGAAAAGGAAAAACAAGCUAGGCCAAACGGUACCUAGACCGUAACGAACAAAUAUUAGAUGAUGAGAAUGAGAAUACCAACCUGGCUGGUAGAGAAGACUGCGAGAUAGAGUUUGUUUUGCUUUAAAUUGAAAAUAAAAAACAAAUGAGUGAUUACGGUGCUUAAAAUCUAAUAGAUGUUGAAGUUUAUGGUAUUUAUUGUUUUGUUAAUAAAUUUUGCUAAUUAGGAAGUGUUAUCCUAUUAAGUAGGACUUAUCCCUUAUGGACUGCUAGUAGAUUUAGUCUUUUAAAUAUUCCUUCUUUGUAGGAUAUUUAGUUUAUUUUUUGCAGUGUUGUUUUUAGCCCACGUUGUGUGUGUGGCAGUUGUGGUGUAAGGCUAGUUUUUUUUGUUUACAACGAACGGGAAUCGAACCCAUAACCUAUAACAUACUACCCAAAUCCUACUAGAUCAAACCUAGUGGUUUGGCUAGUUAAAAGGCCAUUUACUCUUCAUUCAAUAAUACAAGAAAAUUUCCCUUCAUAUUUCUUUGAUUUUUUCUGAUAUUUAAUGCCACAUCAUCCCACUUUUUUAUUCCCUUCUUCACAAGACGUUGACGUUGCCACUGUGACAGUCUCUUGGUCGUUGUUUCAAUAGCAAGCUCUAGUGGCUGCAGGAACCUUUUCUUGUUUUGAUGACCGAAAUGUAACGGAAAGAGUGAGAUUCGGCGGUGGAUNNNNNNNNNNNNNNNNNNNNNNNNNNNNNNNNNNNNNNNNNNNNNNNNNNNNNNNNNNNNNNNNNNNNNNNNNNNNNNNNNNNNNNNNNNNNNNNNNNNNNNGGAUUUUCAGAUUUUAGAAAAGAUUUGUUUUUGUGUGACCGAAUUAGUUCAAUUCUACUUCUGAAUUUUAAGUAAUCCUAUUUUAAGAAGUUUUUGUUACAAUUCAAUCUUUUCCCUCUACAAAAUUCCACGAAUUUCUCAAUUUUCUUUCCCAACUCAAGUUCAUUCUCAGCACUGCUUUGAUUUUCUUUUUCCCUUUUUUUCAAUUUUUCCAUCUAUUGUUUCAUCUAAUCUAUUAUAUAUUGGUUCGAAUCAAUCUAAAAUAAUAAAAAAGCAACACUUGAACACUACGUGUAUUUUUCUCACAAAAGGGUUUUCUGAGUUUCAUUUUCCUUAUUGUUUCUACUCAAACACAACCCAUUAUGUACUUGAAUAUUACUAAACUUGUAUUCCUUACAAUGGUUAGAUGAAGUUGUUGCUCAACGAUUUCUCUGAUGCCAGAAGAGAAAAUGUUAGAUCCCAACAACAACACGGUGAGGAAGGAGGAAGAGAACACAAAGAGACAAAUUCCUGAAUAUUUUUUGGUACAUAGAUGAUGGGAAACCCAUAGAUGAUUGGUGUUUUAGAUGGUACAUAGAUGAUUGGUGUUUUAGAAUUGAACCGGUCACUGGUAAACAAAUAAGUGUAUGACAUUUAAUGAUACAAAAAAUUUAAUGUUUAGAUAAUUGAAUACACCACAUGUCAAAUUAUUUUUAGUGUGUGUUAGAAGGUGUGUCCUAGCAUUACUCUAGAAAAGUUAUCAAACAGAUUAUGGCGAAUGAUAUUGCAAAAGCUUAAUUAUCGGCCGAAACAGAUUGAGAGGAAGAAGAAAAUCCUAGCAAUAGAGUUUACUUACCAAUAAAUGGGAAAGAUGAAGACGUUUUAAUCGGAAUCAGUAGGAGAAGCCAAAUUGCUAAACUGAUUGCGAAGUCGGAGUUGGAGCGAAAAAGAUCGAGUGUUGAGGUGCGAGACUGUAGAGCAUGUUGGUUCGCCGGCUCCUGGAACCCUACCGACGGCGAGAUUUUAUGAUGGAUGUGAGAGUGGAG